CACAGAUCUAACAACUUACAAGUUCAAUGGAGUAAGUGAUCGAAUUUUUGAAAAACAUGGGAGUUGGAGAACUUAAUACGAAAAUUCACCAACCCUGAUGGAUUUUGCACAGACCUAAUAGUUAUAGAAACUUCAGAAAAGGAAAACUUGCCCUCAGAAAAGGAAAAUGUGCCAGAAAAUGUGCCAUCUGCAAUUGCUGAUAAGAAAACCAGAGCCCAGUUAUAAUUCCAGGAUUUUGGAAAAGCUCUUAAGAUUCAUUGGACUCUGCAUCACUGCUGGCAUUCAAUUUGAAACAGAAGGCAAUUUUGAAGAUGAUUUGCAAUGGCUAGAAAAUGCCUCGGAUCCUAGUCGAAGAAAAAUAGGACCAAAGUAUAAAAAGAAGGACGCAGUUUUUAUAUGACGUUGCUGGUCAACAAACUAUAGAAAAUUACUUUUGAAAAUAUUCUGCUCUCAAAAAACCACAAGGAUAUUCUUUGCGUCCUAUGAGGAAACAACGAAUAUAACCGGAUUUCUCACCAUUCCAUUUUUGCUGAACACUGCGGCAGUCCGCCAAAAGAAGAAGCGAGGUUCCGGUGCAAGUCAAAAUUGGAAGCCCAGCAAAAUGGAAGUAAGGGAAGGUUUCAUAAAGCAUAUCCGCUCUAGUGCAGAAAUUAGCCAGACCAUCGAACUUUGCAUAGCCACACUUCAAAAAAUAGGAUUGUCAUGCCAGCCAUACAUAAUUGUAUUGUUGUGGGUGAGUCUCUUGAAAAAAUCGUGUGCAUCAGAAUGACUGACCAAAAUGGCAGAUCGAUGUUGGAGUAACAUUAGCAUUUACUACCUAUUUACUACUAUUUACUACCUAUAUGGGCACAUUUGCUACCUAAGUUAAAAAAAAGAUUUUCCAAAAAUAAAGUGGGCAGUCAUUCUGACGUCAGGAUGACUGCCCAAACUGAGUAUGUCGGAGUUGGACCCCUUAAUUAGCAACAAUGUAUGUACUAUGAUUUACUGCCUAUUUGCUUCCUACACAUAUAUUUUUUCAGACUUUUUAGUUAAAAAAAUAACGAUUUUAUGAGCAAAGUAUUAUUUUUAGAGAUUUUUCCAUAAAGUGGGCAGUCUUUCUGACGUCAGGACGACUGCCCAAACUGAGUCUGUCGGGGUUGGGCCCUCUAAUUUGCAACCAUGUAUAUACUAUGAUUUACUACUUAUUUGCUACCUGCACAUAUAUAUUUUUCAGGUUUUUUAGACAACAAAUAACGAUUUUAUGAGCAAAAUGAUUUUUUUUUGUAGAAAUGUGUUACAUAAAGUGCCAGUCAUUCAUACUUCAGGUUGGACCUCCUAAUUUGAAACAUACAUAUCCUACAUAAUAUAUGUAUGUUUUCAGUUUUUUUUUAUAAAAUAAAUAAAAAUUUAGGCCCAAUUUGCCUACCUACAUAAUAUUUGCAAGUUUUCAGAUUUUAUUAUAAAAAAAUAA